rnacentral:rRNA from 1 species
AGGGUUCGAUUCUGGCUCAGGAUGAACGCUGGCGGCGUGCCUAACACAUGCAAGUCGAGCGAUUCUCUUCGGAGAAGAGCGGCGGACGGGUGAGUAACGCGUGGGUAACCUGCCCUGUACACACGGAUAACAUACCGAAAGGUAUGCUAAUACGAGAUAAUAUGCUUUUAUCGCAUGGUAGAAGUAUCAAAGCUUUUGCGGUACAGGAUGGACCCGCGUCUGAUUAGCUAGUUGGUAAGGUAACGGCUUACCAAGGCGACGAUCAGUAGCCGACCUGAGAGGGUGAUCGGCCACAUUGGAACUGAGACACGGUCCAA